UACGAGGGAUCCUAGCGUUGUUCGGAAUCAUUGGGCGUAAAGCGAGUGUAGGCGGCCAGACAAGUCAGUUGUGAAAGCCCCGGGCUCAACCCGGGAAGUGCUUCUGAUACUGUUUGGCUUGAGUACUAGAGAGGAUAGUAGAAUUCCAGGUGUAGUGGUGAAAUACGUAGAUAUCUGGAGGAAUACCGGUGGCGAAGGCGGCUAUCUGGCUAUGUACUGACGCUGAGACUCGAAAGCAUGGGGAGCAAACAGG
rnacentral:rRNA from 1 species